rnacentral:lncRNA from 1 species
CUGUGGAAACACCUGCUUGUUAUCAGCAUUUUCUCUUGGACCAAUAUAAGCAUCCCGGUACUAAGAACCUCCUUUGAAGGGUCAGACCUAGGCUGCAGAAAGCUGCUCUGUGUUUCACCUUUGCUGCUGCUUCACAAGCGUGGUGGGGCAGUUUUCCCUUCCAGAUCUGGCUCUCUUAUAUCCUGUUCCCAGGGUUAUAGCAUAUUUCCAGGGUGCCACUUGAUGUGUGUCAAGGAAAAGCCUCAGCAACCUGCGAGGAAGGGGAAUGGCUGGUCAAUGGAAACACAGCAUUUGGAAAGGUGUGUGUUUGCUGCUAAUCAAAACUCAUUUCAUGGGCUCCAGCUGGUGGCAUCACAAAUGGGAGGAGGGCUCCUGCAGCAUGGUAGCUAAGCUCUUCCUUUGCAGAAAAUUCCGAUCAGAAAGAAUCCGAGAAAAAUACUUGAGGAAAGGUCACUCUACCAAACUUCUUUGAAACUCGGAUAAAAGAAUAAUGAUAAUUCCAUUGUAGAGCAGUGACAGAUGCUUUAAUUCAAUCCCAUAAAACAGAGCCUCUCCACAGGACUUCUCAACCACAGACCACACAGAGGCUGGCCCACCCACGCCAAACGUGGGAAGUUUCUGUACUGGGAGAGGUGAUGAUGGUGGCACCUCGAGCUGCCUGUGCUGCACAGCCAAUGCCAACCUGUCAGCAUGGUGAAAAAGGACGCGAUGAUUUUUUUAGGGUGAUGGUAGGUGAAAACUGCAUGGACAGGGGGAUGCUGAGGAAAAAUGAUUCUAUUCCAGAAGUGUGAUAGAAAGCUUUAAAUAAAGUAAGUAAAUAGCAGCUGCUUUAGACCUAC